CUGGGGCGCAGUGCAAUAUCUGAAGGGCGAUUUAUUUCUCUGACAGUUUUGGAGCUGAGAGCGCUGCUGCGGGCACUGAGUCCACAUCCAUGGGUGGUGGCCCAACACUCCCACCCCCAGUGCUGAGAAAUGCCAAAGCCCCGCACGCCCCGCAGCGAUACGGAGAGGGCUAACAGCUGUUUCCAAAACAAACGCUGGUGAUGAGCAGACAGAAUCACGGCCGCUGGGACAAAGUCGCUGUUGUUGCACCGGGGCUGUGCCCAUUCAGCUCCAUGGGCUCAAAGCACGUGCAGGGAGCUCAUGGGAGGAGUGAGGUCUGCGAUGGGAUUCUUCCAUACAAACGUUAUUUUUGUGCACAACCGCGUCAUGAAGCCAAGAUGGCCUCAAGUAUGUACCGUGCCUUACAGAAUGGAUCUAAUUCUGCUUUCAGCUUUCCAAUGCAGUGAAGUCUGCCUGGGUGACAUUCACCUUCUCAGCACGCAGAUGGGCAGCACCAGUUCCGAAAGCGAUGGCCUCGCCGGGAGGAUGUUUACCUUCCCAAGCCGCCUUCUCCUUACAUUUAAACAAAAACGUUUCCUUUUCUAAACAGUUUACAUUUCUGAUUCCAGAGGUAUCCUGCUUGCCAAAACCGCCAGUAUUUGUCUCACUUUAAAUGCAUUUAUAUGCUAAUGCAGACAGUCCCUCCUGCUCGCACACUUACCACACACAACUCUGUAGAAAUUACUCUUUUCCUGCUAGAUUUACAAAGUAUGGCCAUCAAACCUCCUUUCGAUUCAUGUGCAUUGACUGCAACCCUGCAGUGCUGAUGGUGCUGUGAUGUGGUGGUGAAGUACAGCUCUGGGUGACCCAUUGGAUCUGUGGAGCGAUGCUGCAUUUGGAGGAGAGGGAGGAAGGAGACAUAAUAGCAGGGAUAUGGUUCUGGGAUGGCUGGACAGCAGCACUCCCGUUUAUGUUACCUUUGGGAUCAUCAUUUAUCUUUCCUUAUCCCCCACCCCUAUUAUUGCCCCAUACAAACAUGUCAGUUUGUUUAACUUCUUGAAAACUACGAAGAGAUUUUGCUUCUAGAAUACCCAAAUCUUUCAUUUUGACAGUCCUGUUCUGCAUUAAGGCCAUAUUAUAAUUGACACAGCAGAGGAAGAUUAAUUGUUUGGGUUGCAACGCACGGACAGAUGUUGGCUUUCUGUCUAAAUUUGGGACAAUCAUUCUCAUGAGGAACCUCAGAACUUCUCACACAACGGAAACUCCAUUUUUCAGCCAGCCACAAUUGUAAUGCCAUUGCACCACUAUUAGUCUUGAAAGGAAGUUUAAAAAAACUCAGAUUACUCACUAAGAUCUAAAGAACAAUGUCAUUCUUAAACCACCUUUCUUCCUUUCAAGUUUUCAGGACUGAAAGCUGACACUGGGAGGGGGAGAACUCUGACUCAUAGCAGGCAGGUUGGACGGCAUGCCAGAUCAGCCAGGGCCCAGCAAAGCUCUGCGUUAUUCUGGAAAAUAACGAUGGAAAAUUCAUUUAAGAGUCGUAUAUGGCUUUGCCGGGGUGGAGGAGGGAAGGGGCAAAUUUAAUUCAGGCCCAGAACUCCCCUCAAACGGAUGCUGGAUGUAAACUUUAGCUGCGUUUCUGUCAGCCUUAAUGGAUUUCACUUAUGGGAACUAUAAUAAACAGCUCAUUAUGGAGUCAGCUGCGGGAGCGUUUUGAGCCCAACAGGGUCAUUUGUUUUCCAAGGCAGAUUUAGUCUAAAGGGGGUGGACAGAAUAAUCCCGCGUUCAAAGUGUCUGCAUUAGCGCUGGAGGAGCGGUGACGAAGUGGCAUUGGGUCCAAAGCAAUGGCUGCUCUUUGCCCAAGCACAGCAAGAGCGCAGGGCCGUCUUGGUGCUCACUGAGCACAGCUCAGGGAACGCUCAUUGCUUCUUCAAAUGUUCCUGUUAACAGCACUUUAAAAAAAAAAUAAAAAAAUCAACCAUAAAUUCAGCCCAGAAACCAUCCUGGCUAAUAACGCCGAGGCUGGAACUUGUAAAUGCCAUCACAGCUGCAGCUGUUGUUGUUGUGAACACUUUGAAAGCCGCUGCUUUCUUUGCUGGAAUAAUGAUCUGCACUGUGUGAUGACCCUCGAAACGUAACAGUGCUGAGAGAUAACAGAGGAGCUGGGUGCUCGGGGAAAACAAUUUGCUGUGAGAAAAACAGCCUGAGUCUUCAUUACAUUGGCUCUGAGUCCUAUUCCUGAAGAUGCUGUUGAUGCUCUGCGCUCUUUUGAGGUUGGCCUCAUCAUUUCUUGUCCAUUCA